UUGGAAUAUAUAUUUAUAUAUGUUUUAUUUGCAGGUAUUAGUUUUCAAGCACAUAAUGGCACUUUCUUUUUCAUUACCCCAAUAGCAAGGUGUGGUCUGAAUAGAAUUAAUCGAACCAUCGAAGAGGGUGGUAGUUGGUCUCACGCCGGUGGACGUGUGAAAGAAAUCAUGGAUGGAGGACAUCGAGUCAGAAGUAGGAGGUCAUACCACUAUAAACCUCCUGCUGCCGAUGCCGAUAGAUGGCUCAUGAAAGAAUACACUGUCUAUCCAUUGCACGAGGUUCUGGGCUCUAAUUUGGAGUAUAUAGUUUUCAUAUGUUAGAUUUUUUCCUCUUUUUUUGUGUGUCUAAUGAUUUUUGGUUCCUUUGGCAGAUGAACAACUUCGCCGUAGUGAAGUUACACAGGUGAUGAUAGCUCGGAUUUCGCCACUCGGGAGUGAUUGCAGGGAUGGCUUUAUGAUUAUGUUU
rnacentral:lncRNA from 1 species